GGCCCUAUCGUCUAACGGUUAGGACGGGACCUUCUCAAGGUUCAAAUCAGAGUUCGAUUCUCUGUAGGGUCACCA
rnacentral:tRNA from 1 species